CCUACGGGAGGCAGCAGUGGGGGAUAUUGCACAAUGGGGGAAACCCUGAUGCAGCGACGCCGCGUGUGGGAAGACGGUCCUCUGGAUUGUAAACCACUUUCCCCAGGGACGAAGAUGACGGUACCUGGGGAGGAAGCUCCGUCUAACUACGUGCCAGCAGCCGCGGUAAGACGUAGGGAUCGAGCGUUGUCCGGAAUUACUGGGUGUAAAGGGAGCGUAGGCGGUGAUGCAAGUUGGGUGUCAAAACUACCGGCUCAACUGGUAGUCGCACUCAAAACUGUAGCUCUUGAGUGAAGUAGAGGCAGGCGGAAUUCCUAGUGUAGCGGUGAAAUGCGUAGAUAUUAGGAGGAACACCAGUGGCGAAGGCGGCCUGCUGGGCUUUUACUGACGCUGAGGCUCGAAAGUGUGGGGAGCAAACAGGAUUAGAUACCCUAGGAGUC
rnacentral:rRNA from 1 species